rnacentral:tRNA from 1 species
UCCCUGAUGGCUCAGAUGGUAAAGAAUCUGCCUGCAAUGCAGAAGACCCGGGUUUGAUCCCUCGGUCAGGAA